rnacentral:rRNA from 1 species
UGCAGGUCGAACGGCAGCACGGGAGCAAUCCUGGUGGCGAGUGGCGAACGGGUGAGUAAUAUAUCGGAACGUGCCCAGUCGUGGGGGAUAACGCAGCGAAAGCUGUGCUAAUACCGCAUACGAUCUCUGGAUGAAAGCGGGGGACCGCAAGGCCUCGCGCGAUUGGAGCGGCCGAUAUCAGAUUAGCUAGUUGGUGGGGUAAAAGCCCACCAAGGCGACGAUCUGUAGCUGGUCUGAGAGGACGACCAGCCACACUGGAACUGAGACACGGUCCAGACUCCUACGGGAGGCAGCAGUGGGGAAUUUUGGACAAUGGGCGCAAGCCUGAUCCAGCAAUGCCGCGUGCAGGAUGAAGGCCUUCGGGUUGUAAACUGCUUUUGUACGGAACGAAACGGCUCCUUUUAAUACAAGGGGCUAAUGACGGUACCGUAAGAAUAAGCACCGGCUAACUACGUGCCAGCAGCCGCGGUAAUACGUAGGGUGCGAGCGUUAAUCGGAAUUACUGGGCGUAAAGCGUGCGCAGGCGGUUAUAUAAGACAGAUGUGAAAUCCCCGGGCUCAACCUGGGACCUGCAUUUGUGACUGUAUAGCUAGAGUACGGUAGAGGGGGAUGGAAUUCCGCGUGUAGCAGUGAAAUGCGUAGAUAUGCGGAGGAACACCGAUGGCGAAGGCAAUCCCCUGGACCUGUACUGACGCUCAUGCACGAAAGCGUGGGGAGCAAACAGGAUUAGAUACCCUGGUAGUCCA